AGCAGCCGCGGUAAUUCCAGCUCCAAUAGCGUAUAUUAAAGUUGUUGCAGUUAAAAAGCUCGUAGUUGAAUUUCGGGAUCAAAGGAUCGGUCAUGCCUUGGUAUGUACUGGUUUUAUUGGUUCUCACCUUCUAAAGAACCAUAAUGUCAUUCAUUUGAUGUUAUGGGGAAUUAGGACUGUUACCUUGAAAAAAUUAGAGUGUUUAAAGCAGGCUUACGCUUGAAUACAUUAGCAUGGAAUAAUGAAAUAGGACAUCAGAUUCUAUUUUGUUGGUUUCUAGGAUCGAUGUAAUGAUUAAUAGGGAUAGUUGGGGGCAUUAGUAUUCAAUUGUCAGAGGUGAAAUUCUUGGAUUUAUUGAAGACUAACUACUGCGAAAGCAUUUGCCAAGGAUGUUUCAUU
rnacentral:rRNA from 1 species